rnacentral:rRNA from 1 species
GACGAACGCUGGCGGCGUGCCUAAUACAUGCAAGUAGAACGCUGAAGAGAGGAGCUUGCUCUUCUUGGAUGAGUUGCGAACGGGUGAGUAACGCGUAGGUAACCUGCCUGGUAGCGGGGGAUAACUAUUGGAAACGAUAGCUAAUACCGCAUAAGAGUAGAUGUUGCAUGACAUUUGCUUAAAAGGUGCAAUUGCAUCACUACCAGAUGGAUCUGCGUUGUAUUAGCUAGUUGGUGAGGUAACGGCUCACCAAGGCGACGAUACAUAGCCGACCUGAGAGGGUGAUCGGCCACACUGGGACUGAGACACGGCCCAGACUCCUACGGGAGGCAGCAGUAGGGAAUCUUCGGCAAUGGACGGAAGUCUGACCGAGCAACGCCGCGUGAGUGAAGAAGGUUUUCGGAUCGUAAAGCUCUGUUGUAAGAGAAGAACGAGUGUGAGAGUGGAAAGUUCACACUGUGACGGUAUCUUACCAGAAAGGGACGGCUAACUACGUGCCAGCAGCCGCGGUAAUACGUAGGUCCCGAGCGUUGUCCGGAUUUAUUGGGCGUAAAGCGAGCGCAGGCGGUUAGAUAAGUCUGAAGUUAAAGGCUGUGGCUUAACCAUAGUACGCUUUGGAAACUGUUUAACUUGAGUGCAAGAGGGGAGAGUGGAAUUCCAUGUGUAGCGGUGAAAUGCGUAGAUAUAUGGAGGAACACCGGUGGCGAAAGCGGCUCUCUGGCUUGUAACUGACGCUGAGGCUCGAAAGCGUGGGGAGCAAACAGG